GAGAGUGGCGAACGGGUGAGUAAUAUAUCGGAACGUGCCCAGUCGUGGGGGAUAACGUAGAGAAAUUUACGCUAAUACCGCAUACGAUCUAAGGAUGAAAGCGGGGGACUCGCAAGAGCCUCGCGCGAUUGGAGCGGCUGAUAUCAGAUUAGGUUGUUGGUGAGGUAAAAGCUCACCAAGCCGACGAUCUGUAGCUGGUUUGAGAGAACGACCAGCCACACUGGGACUGAGACACGGCCCAGACUCCUACGGGAGGCAGCAGUGGGGAAUAUUGGACAAUGGGCGAAAGCCUGAUCCAGCAACGCCGCGUGAGGGAUGACGGCCUUCGGGUUGUAAACCUCUUUCAGCAGGGACGAAGCGAGAGUGACGGUACCUGCAGAAGAAGGACCGGCCAACUACGUGCCAGCAGCCGCGGUAAUACGUAGGGUCCGAGCGUUGUCCGGAAUUAUUGGGCGUAAAGGGCUCGUAGGCGG
rnacentral:rRNA from 1 species